rnacentral:rRNA from 1 species
UACCAGCACCCCGAGUGGUCGGGACGAUUAUUGGGCCUAAAGCCUCCGUAGCCGGUUUUACAAGUCCUCCGUUAAAUCCAACUGCUUAACAGAUGGGCCGCGGAGGAUACUAUAAGACUAGGAGGCAGGAGAGGCAAGCGGUACUCAGUGGGUAGGGGUAAAAUCCGUUGAUCCAUUGAAGACCACCAGUGGCGAAGGCGGCUUGCCAGAAUGCGCUCGACGGUGAGGGAUGAAAGCUGGGGGAGCAAACCGG